rnacentral:lncRNA from 1 species
GGGCUAGGACCCCUCCCCCGAGCUUACCUCCAGGAUGGUUUCAAAGCGGCUGAAGGCCUCGGUAGAGGCGAGGAUCUGUCCGAUAGUUCUCUGUAAGGAGGGAUGAGUGUGAGGGCCCCAGGGAAGGGGUGAGGCUGCUUCAGCCCAGCGGGGAGAAGCUGCGCUCCAGCCCUGAGUAGAAUGGCUCCUGCCCACUCACUGCUCUCUGCAGGGGUCUGAGAUUACCCAGCAGCACAGGGGAGGGGAGGGGAGGAUGCUGGCUCACCUUGGGAUCCCCAGGGGUCCCAGAGGGGGCCUGCCACCGCAGGCCAGUGACCACGUGGAAGACGCCAUUAGCUGCUAUGUUGUUGGCCUUGUAGAUGUUGAACGU